rnacentral:rRNA from 1 species
CCUACGGGAGGCAGCAGUGGGGAAUAUUGCACAAUGGGCGCAAGCCUGAUGCAGCAACGCCGCGUGAGGGACGACGGCCUUCGGGUUGUAAACCUCUUUUAGUAGGGAAGAAGCGAAAGUGACGGUACCUGCAGAAAAAGCACCGGCUAACUACGUGCCAGCAGCCACGGUAAUACGUAGGGUGCAAGCGUUAUCCGGAAUUAUUGGGCGUAAAGAGCUCGUAGGCGGUUUGUCGCGUCUGCUGUGAAAACUGGAGGCUCAACCUCCAGCCUGCAGUGGGUACGGGCAGACUAGAGUGCGGUAGGGGAGAUUGGAAUUCCUGGUGUAGCGGUGGAAUGCGCAGAUAUCAGGAGGAACACCGAUGGCGAAGGCAGAUCUCUGGGCCGUAACUGACGCUGAGGAGCGAAAGCAUGGGGAGCGAACAGGAUUAGAUACCCUGGUAGUCCAUGCCGUAAACGUUGGGAACUAGAUGUAGGGACCAUUCCACGGUUUCUGUGUCGCAGCUAACGCAUUAAGUUCCCCGCCUGGGGAGUACGGCCGCAAGGCUAAAACUCAAAGGAAUUGACGG